AUGGACAGGCAGCUGUGCAGGGCCAGCCCCAGACACCCCCCAACACGGACAGGCAGCUGUGCAGGGCCAGCCCCAGACCCCCCCCCAACAGACAGGCAGCUGUGCAGGGUCAGCCCCAGACACCCCCCAACAGACAGGCAGCUGUGCAGGGUCAGCCCCAGACACCCCCCAACAGACAGGCAGCUGUGCAGGGUCAGCCCCAGACACCCCCCAACACAGACACCCCAACAGACAGGCAGCUGUGCAGGGUCAGCCCCAGACACCCCCCAACAGACAGGCAGCUGUGCAGGGCCAGCCCCAGACACCCCCCCAACAGACAGGCAGCUGUGCAGGGUCAGCCCCAGACACCCCCCAACACGGACAGGCAGCUGUGCAGGGUCAGCCCCAGACACCCCCCAACACGGACAGGCAGCUGUGCAGGGUCAGCCCCAGACACCCCCAACAGACAGGACAGGCAGCUGUGCAGGGUCAGCCCCAGACACCCCCCAACAGACAGGCAGCUGUGCAGGGUCAGCCCCAGACACCCCCCAACAGACAGGCAGCUGUGCAGGGCCAGCCCCAGACACCCCCCAACACGGACAGGCAGCUGUGCAGGGCCAGCCCCAGACACCCCCCAACACGGACAGGCAGCUGUGCAGGCAGCACACACUGUGCAGGGCCAGCCCCAGACACCCCCCAACACGGACAGGCAGCUGUGCAGGGCCAGCCCCAGACACCCCCCCAACAGGGACAGGCAGCUGUGCAGGGUCAGCCCCAGACACCCCCCCAACAGACAGGCAGCUGUGCAGGCAGCACAGGCAGCUGUGCAGGGCCAGCCCCAGACACCCCCCCAACACGGACAGGCAGCACACAGCUGUGCAGGGUCAGCCCCAGACACCCCCCCAACAGACAGGCAGCUGUGCAGGGUCAGCCCCAGACACCCCAACAGACAGGCACAGGCAACAGACAGGCAGCUGUGCAGGGCCAGCCCCAGACACCCCCCCAACAUGGACAGGCAGCUGUGCAGGGCCAGCCCCAGACACCCCCCAACAUGGACAGGCAGCUGUGCAGGGCCAGCCCCAGACACCCCCCAACAUGGACAGGCAGCUGUGCAGGGCCAGCCACAGACACCCCCCAACAUGGACAGGCAGCUGUGCAGGCAGCACACACUGUGCAGGGCCAGCCCCAAACGAGGAGGCCUUUCCUGUUCUCAAGGGAACACUGACAUUACUUCCUGAUGGGGAAUUGUCUGCUCGAACCCUCAGCCUUGGACCAGAGCAGUGGUUCAACCACCUCAGGAUGAAAUGA
rnacentral:lncRNA from 1 species